GACGAACGCUGGCGGCGUGCUUAACACAUGCAAGUCGAACGGAAAGGCCCUGCUUUUGUGGGGGGCUCGAGUGGCGAACGGGUGAGUAAAACGUGAGUAACCUGCCCUUGACUUUGGGAUAACUUCAGGAAAAUGGGGCUAAUACCGGAUAGGAGCUCCUGCUGCAUGGUGGGGGUUGGAAAGUUUCGGCGGUUGGGGAUGGACUCGCGGCUUAUCAGCUUGUUGGUGGGGUAGUGGCUUACCAAGGCUUUGACGGGUAGCCGGCCUGAGAGGGUGACCGGCCACAUUGGGACUGAGAUACGGCCCAGACUCCUACGGGAGGCAGCAGUGGGGAAUAUUGCACAAUGGGCGGAAGCCUGAUGCAGCAACGCCGCGUGCGGGAUGACGGCCUUCGGGUUGUAAACCGCUUUCGCCUGUGACGAAGCGUGAGUGACGGUAAUGGGUAAAGAAGCACCGGCUAACUACGUG
rnacentral:rRNA from 1 species